rnacentral:rRNA from 1 species
GACGAACGCUGGCGGCGUGCUUAACACAUGCAAGUCGAACGGAAAGGCCCUGCUUUUGUGGGGUGCUCGAGUGGCGAACGGGUGAGUAACACGUGAGUAACCUGCCCUUGACUUUGGGAUAACUUCAGGAAACUGGGGCUAAUACCGGAUAGGAGUUCCUGCGGCAUGGUGGGGGUUGGAAAGUUUUGUCGGUUGGGGAUGGACUCGGGGCGUAACAGUUGGUUGGUGGGGUAGUGUCUUACCAAGGCUUGGAUGGGUAGCCGGCCUGACAGGGUGACCGGCCAAAUUGAGACUGAAAUAAGGACCAGACUCCUCCGGUAGACAGCGAUGGGGAAUCUUGUAAGAUGGACUGAACCAUGAUGCAGCAACGCCGCUCGCGGGAUGACGGCCUUCCGGUUGUAAACCGCUUCCACCUAUGAUGAAGCGAGAGUGACGAUAAUGGGUCAAGAAGAACCGGCUAACUACGUG